rnacentral:rRNA from 1 species
GAUGAACGCUGACAGAAUGCUUAACACAUGCAAGUCUUUGGCGAAUCUGUGCUUGCACAGGCUAGCCAAGGCGGACGGGUGAGUAACGCGUAAAGAACUUGCCCUGCAGACAGGGAUAACAGACGGAAACGACUGAUAACACCUGAUACAAUUGCCGGCACGCAUGUGCCUGGCAAUGAAAAGAGAUGCUGCGGGAGAGCUUUGCGUCCUAUUAGCUUGUUGGUGAGGUAACGGCUCACCAAGGCGAUGAUAGGUAGCCGGCCUGAGAGGGUGAACGGCCACAAGGGGACUGAGAUACGGCCCUUACUCCUACGGGAGGCAGCAGUGGGGAAUAUUGGACAAUGGGGGCAACCCUGAUCCAGCAAUUCUGUGUGCACGAAGAAGGUUUUCGGAUUGUAAAGUGCUUUCAGCAGGGAAGAAGAAAGGACGGACCUGCAGAGAGCGCGCAAUC